GUGGCAGCAAAAUGGGGAAGUUUUAGGAAGGAAAAGAAAAACUUUAUGAAGACACAGCCUGAGCUCAAGCUGAAGAUGGCUCUCCUGCUGCUGGAGCAGCAGGGUGAUAUCACAGUUACAGGGAAAUGUUAGCUUGAAACUGAGUCCAAGUCCCUGCUGUUGCACUUGUAUGGCAAUGACAGAUACCUAGAUGAAAAGGACAGAUUUUGGCAGCUGGAUGCACAUGAGAUGCUCUUUUUCACAUUCCAUCUUGGAACAAGUGCGGGCUCCUUUACAGUGACUGUGUACACAAGGCUCAGUUGCUCUUCCUCACAGAAAAAAGGUGAGCCAGACUGGUCUCCAGCUAUUGUCAGUGUUCAGCUGAGGCCUUGAGAUCUUGGCAUGAGCUGGCAGCCUCACACAGUCCUUCAAAUGAGUGUGGGAGAGAAAACAAAUUUAUGUACUCUGGCAGCUGAAUUCUUUGCUGUAAAGGAGAACAAAUCACCAAUCAUCCUCUACCAUUAAAAUUUAAAAUCUGCCUCUGUAAUAUUUAUUUUAACUUGCAUGUGCUUCUGACAAGGCUCCAGGGCCUAAUGCUCAAGGAAUGAGAAGCAGCAUUUUGGAGGCUCCAAACAGCAAGGAUGAUAUCUAGGAAAAAAGAGUCUUUUAAAAUAUUCCUGUUUCAUCCAGUACAUUCCUUGUCAGAGGCAAUCUUCAUGAAGCUGAGCAGCUGAAAAGAAAAGACAGCACCAUAUAACCAGCCAUACCUGUGGACCACCAGAGAUCCUCAGAAGUGAACUGCCUGAACUAAGUUACAAUGUUCUGAAUACGAAUGAUCAAGAGGGCAAAAUUCAACCAAGUGAAGGGGGACAGUCAAAGACAUCCCACACCACUUAUGCAGCUCAGUGGGCUAGUGGAAAGGGAAGAGGCAUGGCAGAGCAGCAGCUCACAAUAGGAGGAGAUGGAAGGGAACAAAGUGCAUGUUGCCACUGAAGUACACAGAAGGACCCCCUGCAAGAACUCCAGACAGCCAUAAUGGAGUGUGCUUUUGAACGCUUAUGCUUGUGAGAGCAGGGGGCAGUAGCUUCAGUUCUAGCUCCUGAACUGGAAUAGAAGCUGUG